rnacentral:lncRNA from 1 species
AGACACAAGUCCGCAGUAGGAGCAGGGUCAGGUGCAGGACGUGAAUCAACUGGGCCGGAUGCUGGGCGAGGACGACGAUGAUAUGUCAAGAGUGGAGUUUCUGUGGCUGGGAGUCUAGGAGGAGCCACACUAGAAUCUCCAACGGUUGGAAUGGGUAAGACUUCUGUAGCGGAAGGUGUAGGAGGAGCUAUAGUAGAAUUCCUAAAGGCUAGUAUAGGUAAAACCUUAGAUAUAUCAAGAUGGUC